CUUUGCUUUGACCACUAGAGGGCGCAAGAAGUCAGCCGGCGUGUGACGUCGGCGUCAGUAGACGAGCUUACAGGAUCCCGGCUUCUCGACACAUGUAGUAAAACUGUCCUCUCUUCUCAAUCAGUCUCUCCAAGCAUGGCAGACAGGAGCGAGGAUUUCCCACUGCCGACGUGGCCGACAACAGCAACCAGUGAGCCGCAUGGCACCCUAACACUGAUUCUACACACAAAUACGCAAACACAAACAUCAUAAGGAUGGAACCUAAGGUUUACAUUACCACAGUGAGACUUCGUAUGAUGGGACUGAGCAAGAAGACAAGAUGUUGUUGGAUUUCCUGUCUUCGUUCCAACAGGAUGUAAAAGAAUUCCACAAAACCAAAGGAGGCCAAGAAGAAGCCCAGCAACUGCAAAAGACUUGGCACUGCAGAGCGAAGAGAGAGGCAGUGGACUGCGGCCGUGGCAGUACAGAUGAAGGAAAUAGAACGGUGAAAGGACCCACAGGUAGAUGCAUGGAGCCCAAACCAGGACCGUGUUCUGGAAGCAGUCGCUCAGUUCAGGGUUGUGUGUAUACCAUGUCUGAUUCCAGUCCUGAAGAUGAAGAAACGUUUGUGGUAUUGGUAAGUUUUCAACCAAUUAUGUUAUAAUGAGAAAAUAGAUACAAUAGCUCUCCACAAAAUCCUCUUGGAUCCAAACCAUCUCCACACACCGACCAUGGUCUGAAUUUUCUGGGACUUCCAAAAUUAGGCUACAGUUUUGAACAUUUUGUGGUUGUGCAGUUGUAUAAGACACUGGUACUUAGACACUAAACUAGCAGAAUGGUCUU